rnacentral:misc_RNA from 1 species
UCCAGCACGGGCAACAAGUGUCGUCGACUCCGCCUGUCGCACCCAACACUCACGCCUUUCUCACGCGUCUAACUCACGCGUUCUAUACUCUCACAUCACAUAUUACAAAACAAAAUAGAAAACGUACCAGAAACACAAUCAAAAUGUCUUUAAAACAGAAAAAAAGACCAUUAGUGAAGCAGGUAUGAAUCCACCUCGCGUCUCUGGUGCCGUCGUGACUUGAAAGAACAGCAGUGAGUGUCUCUCCAGUCCACGUAAUGGCAUUGAGUGUCCCUUGAUAGAGGAACACGGUGCUCUUGUGCUCACUGCGAGGAAUACAAGGCGUCAUUUUAGCAUCUCAGACAAGAUACAAGUGGGAUAUUUUUUUGUUUGGGUUCACGUUCAGGAUGACGAUUGGAAGAUGAAAUGAAGAUGUCGGCUACUGAAGAGAGAGAGAGGAGCUAGACAACUCACCGGUGGCUGCCUCUCGUAGUCGAGGCAGGAGGGAGACGGUGACGACAGUGUGACGAAAUGUGGUGCUUCUCGUCCCCACAGGAGGGCGUUACUCUUCUCUACUCUACUCUGUGACAACAUAAAGAUUCCUUGUCAAAAGGAUCAACAAGAAGGGUAGAGAGGCGGGGCAGGUCACCGGUGUGGUGCAUCUCGAGAGGCGGGAGGUGACCACCGUGUGCCCCAACAUCGGUUAAAAUGCUGCAGCGGGGGGCCGGGCCCGGCGCCUUCACCAGCCCGGCCAGGUAGUAGUUCAUAUGGACGAUCAAACGCACGCCCAGCUGGCGGACCUGGCACGGGCGUGGGGCGCAGGUGGCGCUGGGGCUGGAGGAGAAUGCGUGGGAGACGGAGUGAAGCCCCUGGCGCCCACUCAGAAAGAGGGCAAAGUGUGGACAGUGGACGGCUGGACAGCUGACCAAAACAAGACCGCGAAUCGAAGGGCCAACAAAACCACCAACGGCAGUAGUAGCACCAGCAGCGACAGCAACAGCUACUCUGGUGAUACCUCUGGCAGCAGUACAGUAGAUAGCAGCAGUGGGGACAGCUUAGGGUGUGGGAAAGGGUGGGUGCGCUCAGAGAACUCGACAGGAGGGUGUUGUGCAUGCAUGUGCCCCACGUCACGCGAGUCUGCAGCACCAGCCAAACCUGAUGCAGAAAACGUGGUGAUGCCUACGAGCGGGCACCUAGUGGUGCCCCGCAGGGCGCGCUUCUGGAACGCCGUGGCCCUGAAGGAGGAUAACGCCCGCUUUCUGUUGCUGGCGCUGGUGCUGCUGCUGUACAUGGUGGUUGGUGCCCUCAUCUUCCAGGCCUUCGAGGAAGAAAACGAAAAACGUGAAAGAACCAAUUACCUGGAGCAGUACGACGCGAAGCUGAGUGAGCUGAAGGAAGAAAUAAACUACAACAACGUGAGUUUGUCGAGGGUGGAGGAGCUCCUCUACAUCUGGGGCAACAUGACUGACGAGGGAUACAAGCCCCAGGCAAGACGACUCUGGGACUUCGCUGGAAGUUUCCACUUUGUCUACACUGUUGUCUCCACUAUCGGAUACGGCGCGGCCUCUCCCAGGACGCAAGAAGGCAAGAUCUUUUGUAUCUUCUACGGGUUAAUCGGCUGUUCCUCCGGCAUUCUCUUCUUCAACCUCUUUCUUGAGCGAAUCAUCACCCUCCUCGCCUUCAUCAUGAGGGCGCGACACGAACGAAAGCAGCGACAACGAGCAGCGGCUGGUGGUGUGGAAGGUGUGGUGGAGAAUAACCAGCGACGAGGCUCUCAAGACUCCAUGGAAGACUCCAGCCUGGACGCCUGGAAACCUUCCGUGUACUGGGUCAUGUUCUACCUCACGCUCGCCUCUGUCGUCGUAGCUUUCCUCGGCGCCGUCUUGUUUAUGGAGGUAGAGGAAUGGACCUACGCUGACUCACUCUACUUUUGCUUCAUUUCCUUCGCCACCAUUGGUUUUGGAGACUUUGUAUCCGCUCAGGAACCCAACGCGUUCUACGGGUCAGGAUUACACACCUACCGCUUCUUCAACUUCGCCAUUCUUGUUGUGGGUUGUUGUUGCAUUUAUUCCCUCUUCAACGUUAUAUCCAUCACCAUCAAGCAGUUUCUGAAUUGCAUUAUUAAGAGAAUCGCGUCGUGUUGCGCCCGAGGUCACUGUAAACCCACACCUCGAAGGAAUGCCGUCUCUCCUUCACGGCUCCAGAAACACGCCAUCAAACGUAUUGAAGGGGACAUCGAUUCUAUGUACGGAUCAGAGACAGAGAGGAAACUAUCAGGAGAAAUGGUCUCUAUGAGGGAGUACAUCUCGACCAACAAGACGAACCUUCCCAGGAUACAAGAACAGGUCUCACUGGCGGUAAUGCAGAAGCAGCUGUACGAGACGGCACAGAUGAGUCGAGGUCACACGUCCUCGCCACACCCUCGGCCAGGUCACGAGGAGCGCUUUACGCCAGGACAAGUUGGCCCCCUCGCCAUCGCCUCCUCCAAGCUCUGCGACCGAUCUUAGCCGGGCCUCAUGCCACCCUACCUAGCCUUCGUCCAGGUGCUCACAAGAUCGUACGAUAAUUUCCUCUUUUUUUAACCUACCUGGGAGAUAUGAGCACGUAUCUGGCCGAGAUCUCUGUGGUAACAUUAGUGAGUCAGUUACUCAUAGUUGUUUUUUCUCACCACCAGUUAAGGGGAAAUUAGACGUACGAAAUUCUGAAGACCCGGGUCAUGAAGCGUUCCUCCAGCCCUCGGGCAACCAACCUCCCACCUUCUCCUUUAUACAGUUAAACCUUCAGGAACUUUUACUGUGUAUUAAAAACUAAUGUUCGAGAAACUAUGUAUUGAAAAUAAGAGGUUGAUCUAUGAUAAAAAAAGGGACAAAUCAAUGUGAUUAAAAAGAUAAUAUAGUAAUAGUUCAAAAUAGCCAUUACAAGUUCUUCAGUACGUGAAGCUGUGAUUGAAUGAACCGGAGAAAAUGAUUGGAAUGUAUCGAAACAUAACAAAUAGUUGAACAUUUAGCAACACAUUUUUUUCUUUACGGUAGCAAGUGUAAAUGGUUGAAUAAUGAUCUCUUGUCAACUAUGACUUAUUGCAAUAUAUCACUAUCCAUCAACCUAUCUUUACACCUGACAUACCUGAGAAUAUAAAUUUGUAACUUACUAUUGUCUUAUCUGGAGGAGUUUCUCGACCAACAUGUGAGUUACAGAGAUGGUUGGUAACACACUUGUCCACAGGAGAAAAACACAUCAUUUACGUUAUUGCUAUAGUGAUGGCUGCCUUAGGGGGAAAAGCUGAAUACAGUGAAAUCUUUAUUUAACGGACUAUAUGAGAGACUGUAAUCCGUUAUAUCGAGGCGCAUUAGAUAUGGGAUCUCCAUAUAAUGAACAAUUAUCCGUUAGAUUGAUGUCCGUUAAAUGGAGGUUUUACUGUAUAUAUUUAUUUCAUAAUGGUGAAGUGAACUGAGAGUGCGAAGCCUGUGUGUGUGUGUGUGUGUGUGUGUGUGUGUGUGUGUGUGUGUGUGUGUGCGUGUGUGUGUGUGUUGUGUGUGUGUGUGUAUGUGUGUGUGUGUGUGUGUGUGUUACUUAUAAUCUAUGACGAGAUAAAGGAUGUCUAUACGUAUUGUUAUCUCAACCUUCAUCCCAAAGAUUUCUACUUUUAAAAGAUAGUUAAGCACAUACAGUAUAUCUCUCACUUGGCUGUAGCAUUGGAUACAGUGACGUGACAUUUAUCCUUGGUACGAGAGACAUUUAAUACCCUCUUCAUAUAUACCUGUAUAUAAUUUUCCCAACGUUUGAAAAAUUAGACAAACAUUACUAACACUGCCUCUACAUGAUCCACAAAAAAAUGGGGAAAUAAAUCAAUGAUCUUAAAAAAAAAAUGAUAAUAAUAUUUGUGUGGUAAUCUGCCCCGGGAAUAUUUAAGGAAACUCCAUUCUUAAGAGUCAAUGGAGGAAAAAUCUGUCAGAAUUAAAAUGAUUAAAACAAGCAUAUAAAAAUUUGUUUUAGUUGUUUUGUAUGGAAUUACACUCUCCCAUACAGCCCGUUAAAUAGUGUACCACCUCAUCGCCUCGUCCACCUCACCUUACAGAUAAAACCAAAGAUGAGGCUGUUCACUUUACUGGACCAUUUAUUCGUUUUUAUUUAUUUUUCAACUAAUGUAAAAUAACGAAUAUGUACAGUACACAUCUGCCUAUUCCUGAAGACUGGGACCAUGGUUAGUUAAUUCCUCUAACAAUGAUUCAUUGUGUUAUGUAAACAAGAAAACACUGUAACAAUGGGCCGUUCGCCAUCCACUAAGUCCUGUCCUAACUCGUAAAUUAUGAACCCCGACAUUCAGACUCGUGAACCCGUAUGAGUGGCCACAUUAUUCUGUCCAUAAAUGCUUCGGAUUCACGGGUCUGAAUCUCGAGUUCAUAGUUCAGGAGGAGUGACGACACGACUUUUGUGAAUGACUGUAUGUAGCCUCUUCAUAUAAGAUAAAUUUCCUCAUUUAGUAAAGUAUUCUUUUCUUUUAACACUGAUUUUAUCCCUUGAGUACGAUGUUUUAAGUCACUGUUGUGCUGAUGGUGAUAACAUAUGUCUGUUGGUGAAGGAGGUAUGUUAAUAAUACGGUCUUAGGUCAUUAUGUCGGCCAUGUUUGUAUCCAUUAAAAACGUUAUUUUCCCUCCUAUAUAACUUGAGCUCUGAGGACAACUGAAAAUAGACCAGAAAUAAUACAGAUUUGUAAAGAAUUUUUUUACAUUCAAGUGACUCAUUACGGUUUUAUUUUUGCGAGUAACGAGAUGACAGCCGUUACCAACACCAGGUAUAGAGUAACGAGAUGACAGCCGCUACCAACACCAGGUAUAGAGUAACGAGAGGACAGCCGUUACCAACACCAGGUAUAGAGUAACGAGAUGACAGCCGUUACCAACACCAGGUAUAGAGUAACGAGAGGACAGCCGUUACCAACACCAGGUAUAGAGUAACGAGAGGACAGCCGUUACCAACACCAGGUAUAGAGUAACGAGAGGACAGCCGUUACCAGCACCAGGUAUAGAGUAACAAGAUGACAGCCGUUACCAACACCAGGUAUUGAGUAAAAAGGUGUCAGCCGUUACCAACACCAGGUAUAGAGUAACGAGAUGACAGCCGUUACCAACACCAGGUAUAGAGUAACAAGGUGUCAGCCGUUACCAACACCAGGUAUAGAGUAACAAGGUGUCAGCCGUUACCAACACCAGGUAUAAUCCAAACGCCAGGUUUUAGAUGUAUAUAAAAUGUUAUUAUAUAAAAGUUUACGCCUGUUGAACACAUGUAAAUAAAAUUCUACCUUA